UGUGAUUGGAGAUAUCGGAGGGAAGAGCAGUCCAUAAGUAUGUGUUUGAUGGUUAGAAGUGAUGAAUUGCAGAAGUGGCAGAUGGGUUGGUUUUCUUUGGAUAUGAUAUGACUGGAAAGGAGGACCGCGUGGAGGUGUCGAGCGUGACUUUAGGGUUAUAUCCAAAAUCUAGAUUCAUCAUGCGGGUUAAAGGCGUCAAGUUUCUUCAUUUCAAUCCUCACCGAAAAUCGUGCGUGUAGAAAAAUUUGAGCGGACCUUAGCAGCAGAGGAAAAGGUUCAUUGACGACGGAAUACUGUUUCACGCCAUGUCCAGGAAAAUAUCUCUAUCUCAGUCAGAGACUUUCAGGAAUUUCAUUAAAAUGGGGCUGGUGAAAUAUUACGAAUUUCAUAAUAUACUAUUAGUGCAUACCCAAAACUUAACUUCCAGGUGGCCACCUUGAGUCAAGCGAGCUUGAUAACAAUCAUAUUUUUUUUUAAUUUGUUGCAGAAAAUCGAUCUGAAUACUUCGAAACCUUAGAAAUAAAACAUGCAUUUUUAAAGAGGA